rnacentral:rRNA from 1 species
UACGUAGGUGACCAGCGUUGUCCGGAUUUACUGGGCGUAAAGGGCGCGUAGGCGGCCACCGCAAGUCAGUUGUGAAAGCUCUGGGCUUAACCCAGAAAGGUCAGCUGAUACUGCGGGGCUAGAGUGCAGAAGGGGCAACUGGAAUUCUCGGUGUAGCGGUGAAAUGCGUAGAUAUCGAGAGGAACACCUGCGGCGAAGGCGGGUUGCUGGGCUGACACUGACGCUGACAGCGCGAAAGCUAGGGGGAGCGAACGGG